GUUAUAUGGUCAAGUGAAGAAGCGCAUACGGUGGAUGCCUUGGCAGUCAGAGGCGAUGAAAGACGUGGUAGCCUGCGAAAAGCUUCGGGGAGUCGGCAAACAGACUUUGAUCCGGAGAUCUCUGAAUGGGGGAACCCACCUAGGAUAACCUAGGUAUCUUGUACUGAAUCCAUAGGUGCAAGAGGCGAACCAGGGGAACUGAAACAUCUAAGUACCCUGAGGAAAAGAAAUCAACCGAGAUUCCCUUAGUAGUGGCGAGCGAACGGGGAUUAGCCCUUAAGCUUCAUUGAUUUUAGCGGAACGCUCUGGAAAGUGCGGCCAUAGUGGGUGAUAGCCCCGUACGCGAAAGGAUCUUUGAAGUGAAAUCGAGUAGGACGGAGCACGAGAAACUUUGUCUGAACAUGGGGGACCAUCCUCCAAGGCUAAAUACUACUGACUGACCGAUAGUGAACCAGUACCGUGAGGGAAAGGCGAAAAGAACCCCGGAGAGGGGAGUGAAAUAGAACCUGAAACCGUAUGCGUACAAGCAGUGGGAGCCUACUUGUUAGGUGACUGCGUACCUUUUGUAUAAUGGGUCAGCGACUUAUAUUCAGUGGCAAGCUUAACCGUAUAGGGUAGGCGUAGCGAAAGCGAGUCUUAAUAGGGCGUUUAGUCGCUGGGUAUAGACCCGAAACCGGGCGAUCUAUCCAUGAGCAGGUUGAAGGUUAGGUAACACUGACUGGAGGACCGAACCCACUCCCGUUGAAAAGGUAGGGGAUGACUUGUGGAUCGGAGUGAAAGGCUAAUCAAGCUCGGAGAUAGCUGGUUCUCCUCGAAAGCUAUUUAGGUAGCGCCUCAUGUAUCACUCUGGGGGUAGAGCACUGUUUCGGCUAGGGGGUCAUCCCGACUUACCAAACCGAUGCAAACUCCGAAUACCCAGAAGUGCCGAGCAUGGGAGACACACGGCGGGUGCUAACGUCCGUCGUGAAAAGGGAAACAACCCAGACCGCCAGCUAAGGUCCCAAAGUUGUGGUUAAGUGGUAAACGAUGUGGGAAGGCUUAGACAGCUAGGAGGUUGGCUUAGAAGCAGCCAUCCUUUAAAGAAAGCGUAAUAGCUCACUAGUCGAGUCGGCCUGCGCGGAAGAUGUAACGGGGCUCAAACCACACACCGAAGCUGCGGGUGUCACGUAAGUGACGCGGUAGAGGAGCGUUCUGUAAGCCUGUGAAGGUGAGUUGAGAAGCUUGCUGGAGGUAUCAGAAGUGCGAAUGCUGACAUGAGUAACGACAAUGGGUGUGAAAAACACCCACGCCGAAAGACCAAGGGUUCCUGCGCAACGUUAAUCGACGCAGGGUUAGUCGGUUCCUAAGGCGAGGCUGAAAAGCGUAGUCGAUGGGAAACAGGUUAAUAUUCCUGUACUUCUGGUUACUGCGAUGGAGGGACGGAGAAGGCUAGGCCAGCUUGGCGUUGGUUGUCCAAGUUUAAGGUGGUAGGCUGAAAUCUUAGGUAAAUCCGGGGUUUCAAGGCCGAGAGCUGAUGACGAGUCGUCUUUUAGAUGACGAAGUGGUUGAUGCCAUGCUUCCAAGAAAAGCUUCUAAGCUUCAGGUAACCAGGAACCGUACCCCAAACCGACACAUAAAAACACAGCACUCUGCAAACACGAAAGUGGACGUAUAGGGUGUGACGCCUGCCCGGUGCCGGAAGGUUAAUUGAUGGGGUUAGCGCAAGCGAAGCUCUUGAUCGAAGCCCCGGUAAACGGCGGCCGUAACUAUAACGGUCCUAAGGUAGCGCAGAAAUUUUUGUCGGUAAGUUCCGACCCGCACGAAUGGCGUAACGAUGGCGGCGCUGUCUCCACCCGAGACUCAGUGAAAUUGAAAUCGCUGUGAAGAUGCAGUGUAUCCG
rnacentral:rRNA from 1 species